GACAGAGGGUGCAAACGUUGUUCGGAAUUACUGGGCGUAAAGCGCGUGUAGGCGGUCCGCUAAGUCGGGUGUGAAAGCCCUGGGCUCAACCCAGGAAGUGCACUCGAAACUGGCGGGCUAGAGUACUGGAGAGGUUGGUGGAAUUCUCGGUGUAGAGGUGAAAUUCGUAGAUAUCGAGAGGAACACCGGUGGCGAAGGCGGCCAACUGGACAGAUACUGACGCUGAGACUCGAAAGCGUGGGGAGCAAACAGG
rnacentral:rRNA from 1 species